AUUGAACGCUGGCGGCAUGCCUUACACAUGCAAGUCGAACGGCAGCACGGGUGCUUGCACCUGGUGGCGAGUGGCGAACGGGUGAGUAAUACAUCGGAACAUGUCCUGUAGUGGGGGAUAGCCCGGCGAAAGCCGGAUUAAUACCGCAUACGAUCCACGGAUGAAAGCGGGGGACCUUCGGGCCUCGCGCUAUAGGGUUGGCCGAUGGCUGAUUAGCUAGUUGGUGGGGUAAAGGCCUACCAAGGCGACGAUCAGUAGCUGGUCUGAGAGGACGACCGGCCACACUGGGACUGAGACACGGCCCAGACUCCUACGGGAGGCAGCAGUGGGGAAUUUUGGACAAUGGGCGAAAGCCUGAUCCAGCAAUGCCGCGUGUGUGAAGAAGGCCUUCGGGUUGUAAAGCACUUUUGUCCGGAAAGAAAUCCUUGGCUCUAAUACAGUCGGGGGAUGACGGUACCGGAAGAAUAAGCGCCGGCUAACUACGUG
rnacentral:rRNA from 1 species